GCAGGACGUUAUAUAAUAUGGAAUAGUUGAUUGGACAGUUUGGGUCCGGUGCUCUGGCUCUGCUCCCUCCCAGCUUCUUGUGCACCUGCACAUGGGCAGGACAUGGGAAGUUAGAUGGCAGCACUA